GUCCUAGCCCUAAACGCUGCGAGUUAGGUGUUGCAUAAUCUUCGGGAUUUUGCAGUAUCGGAGCGAAAGCGUUAAACUCGCCGCCUGGGAAGUACGGCCGCAAGACUGAAACUUAAAGGAAUUGGCGGGGGAGCACUACAAGGGGUGCGGCGUGCGGUUUAAUCUAACUCAACACAGAACAUCUUACCAGUGUCGACGGCAAGAUGAAGGUCAGUCUGAAUGGCUUACCUGAUGAGCCGAGAGGUAGUGCAUGGCCGUCGUCGGCUCGUGCCGUAAGGUGUCCUGUUAAGUCAGGCAACGAGCGAGACCUGUAUCCACAGUUGCUAACUGGUUCAUCAGAAUGACAGAGCACACUGUGGGGACCGCUCCUGAAAAGGAGAGGAAGGUGCAGGCUACGCUAGGUCUGUAUGCUCCGAAUACUCUGGGCUACACGCGCGCAACAAUGGUAACGACACUGGGAUGCAACUCCGAAAGGAGAAGCAAAUCCCAUAAUGUCUGGCCUAGUUCAGAUUGAGGUUUGUAACUCAACCUCAUGACGCUGGAAUCCGUAGUAAUCGUUCGUUAUCAGCGAACGGUGAAUAUGUCACGGCCUCUUGUACACACUGCCCGUCAAGCCAUGGAAGCUGUUUCUACCUGAAUAGAGUGAGCUAACCGCAAGGAGGCAGCUUUACACGGUAGGAGGAGUGACUGGGGUUAAGUCGUAACAAGGUAGCCGUACCGGAAGGUGCGGCUG
rnacentral:rRNA from 1 species